GAAAAGUAUUAGGGGAGCUAUGAGGUUGGCUGAGAGGAUAUCCUGAUGAAGAUAUCGACCCUUAACCUGAUCUGGGUAAUGCCAGCGGAGGGAUGUUUAUUAGGAUUACA
rnacentral:ncRNA from 2 species